rnacentral:lncRNA from 12 species
AAAAUGUUGCAACUAUUACAAGGUACAGCUGGUGCUCAAGUGUAACUGGAAAUGAGAACAAAACCUCACCACUGCUGGCACUAGCUUUCCUCACAGUAUCAGAAAUACCUGUGAAUAUUUGGAAUUUGGGAACUACUGGUCUCUGACGGCUAUCCACAGUCUAGUUAGACAAAAGGCACGGCCCCUGUGUGAGGCUCUGGAUGCGGCGCCGAGCUCCGGCUCGAGGAUUCUUGCUCAGCCCGGGAUGGGGUCACCAGGCUGGCUGGGAACAC